AGGGAGGCGCGCGAGGGGUGCCUGCGGCGGCCGCGUGCUCCCGCGAGGGGGCGUGUCCUUCCGCGGCCAGCUGGGUCCCUGAGUGUCCAGAUCCACGCGCGGGCUGGAGAGCGCGCCCGGCUGUGAAGAGGGAUGGAGAUGGAGCCUCAUGACAAAAAUGAAAGUGAACAUGAUGUGGGAAAUAUAAAGAAGAGAUCCCCAAGAUAAGGAUUCUGGAGCAGAAAGAGAAUGAAUGAGAGAGAGUCAGAGUGAGGGAGACACAGAAUCCGAAACAGGCUCCAGGCUCUGAGCUGUCAGCACAGAGCCCGACGCGGGGCUCGAACUCACGGGCCGCGAGAUCAUGACCUGAGCCGAAGUCGGACACUUAACCGACUGAGCCACCCAGGCGCCCCUCAGGAUGCAUGACAAUCAAGUGUGCUCUUCAAUCCCCUUCAAGUUUUGGACCUGUUGUGUAAUUCCUACAGCACAUAAUCAAAGUGCUAUUUGAUCUAACUGGUUUGGGGUCUAUAUAUAAUGAUCCCCUUGGAGGAGUCCCCAGAUGUUUUCCAAAUCAUUCAUUCCGUUGAUUCAGUACAAUUUAUUGGGUGUGUGUGUGCCAGGUACUAGUUAUGCAAUGAUGACUAAGAUAGUCCCUAUUCUCUGUCAGCUUCUUAUAGUAAAGUCUGUGAACUGACCACACAGAUGACCUGCAGAAGUCUGCUGCAGAUUCUCCUGCCCUAUUCCAGACCUCCUGAACCCAAAUCUCAGAGGCAAGGGAUUCUGCACUUUGAAGAUGUUCCCUAGGUACUGUUGCUUUAGGAGUUCAUAAUCUUUUAAAACACUUGAGAUAGUGGGAGAUCGGGAGGGGACAGAGACUUGGGGGGAGGGAAAGUAUGGCCAAAUAGGAAAACAAACAAAUACACUACGGUGUGGUAAGUGCUAAAAUAGAGGUAUACAGGCAAAGCGCUGAGAAUAUAUGAGGAGGAGUUAAGCCUAACUGCAUAAUGUCAGAGGAGAGAAUUGCCAACAGGAGAUUUCUUAAAGUACCUAGAAUUAUUAUUCUUUAGCAUGUUAAGAAACUCACUUGUCUACUUGGAGUACAACUAAAAAAACGCAAUUACUUUUUGAAAAUGAAUUCCCAAUUAAAGAUGAUCUUGAAAAUCAUGUUCAGAGAUCCA